rnacentral:rRNA from 1 species
AGCAGCCGCGGUAAUUCCAGCUCCAAUAGCGUAUAUUAAAGUUGUUGCAGUUAAAAAGCUCGUAGUUGAAUUUCGGGGUUAGUAGGUUGGUCAUGCCUCUGGUAUGUACUGGUCUCACUGAUUCCUCCUUCCUGAUGAACCUUAAUGCCAUUAAUUUGGUGUUUUGGGGAAUUUGGACUGUUACUUUGAAAAAAUUAGAGUGUUUAAAGCAUGCUAACGCUUGAAUACAUUAGCAUGGAAUAAUGAAAUAGGACGUUCGAUCCUAUUUUGUUGGUUUCUAGGAUUGACGUAAUGAUUAAUAGGGAUAGUUGGGGGCAUUAGUAUUCAAUUGUCAGAGGUGAAAUUCUUGGAUUUAUUGAAGACUAACUACUGCGAAAGCAUUUGCCAAGGAUGUUUUCAUUAAUCAAGAACGAAAGUUAGGGGAUCGAAGACGAUCAGAUACCGUCGUUGUCUUAACCAUAAACUAUGCCGACUAGGGAUCGGAUGAUGUUAAUUUUUUAAUGACUCA